rnacentral:pre_miRNA from 1 species
CUUAUACUCCCUCCGUCCGAAAAUACUUGUCAUCAAAAUGAAUAAAAAGGGAUGUAUCUAAAACUAAAAUACGUCUAGAUACAUCCGCUUUUGUUCAUUUUGAUGACAAGUAUUUCCAGACGGAGGGAGUAUUUA